CUUAGACAACAUAUUAGGAGUUAUCAUGAUACUAUUAAAUGAUGUUCUAUUAAUUUCGUUUAUUAUAAGAUGUAUGUAUUAACCUUACUUAUCAAUAGUAGAUAGUAUUGUGUGAAUGAGUAGGCGUAGGCCAUUGGUAUCUAGGCAUGCGCACUAACGGUGUGUCUAUUGGUCAGGAGGUCAUGACACCGGGGGUAGGUGUGCCGGGUAUAGUCUACUGAUGAUCUCCUAUCGGGGAUAUAUAUCGACCCCCAGUGCAGAAUGAUCAUAGUCCCUGAUCCUCCAAACGUCUGAAGCGCUAGGCUAAGCUAGUAGACUCGUCAUAGCGGCUGCAGAAAAAAAAAAAAACAGCUACCCCAACCUGCGCAACUAUGCCUACUGACUGUAAGUAUUCAUAUGAGUGUAAUAUAUUAUUAUUAUUAUUAUAUCAUGACUACGACCAUGUGUAUACGCGGCCCAUAUCUGAUUGAUACAUAGUUUUUCCGCAGUGAUUUCUGACGUCGGCAAUGAGAGCGUGAAAAAGCAUCAGGGUCCACGUGCACCAGGUGCAUAUGAUAUUCGGUUGAAUAAUCAAAGAACGAUACUCGGCGAUCGGACCAAUGUGGGGGCCAGCGGUAGUUAUGUGCCUAUCGUGAAUAGUGUGAAACAGUGGACCCCUGGAUCAAACCAUCUAUCCAAGAAAAAUCUCAAAAGACCGAACCGUGGACCGGCUCUACCUCUACCCUGCUCUCCGCUAACAGUGUUGCAACCACAGGUCCCGUAUAAAAAGGGACGCAAGGACACCGCUCAUAGUGUUUUAACUCCAGAGAAUUUUAACUUGGUUCUCCAUGCUGUCAUAAACCCUAAAAUCGUCCACCACGGGGGUGGAUGGUCUGAGUCCAAACAGCCGGUGAUUGAGACAUCGGUUGUGUCCGUGUCUGAGCCGCCUGCAGAGACCCUUACUGUGCAGCCGGAUGGAGGCAUUCAGCAUGUCCUUGGAGACCCUCAGUAUGCACCACUACCAGAACUGACCGAUGAGGAUCUCGAGGGUCUUGCCGACAUUCCGUUGAGGCCCUCAUCGCUGUUGGAACAGCUCGACUUCACUCCCGCUCAUUGGAUAGACCCUCCAGCUACUUUCGUAGGGGGUACCGCCAGUGCAGAACCUGUAAACCAUCAGCCUGCAGCCCCCGCCUCUGGAGCACUACCCAUCAUCCAGGCCUCUAUCCACGAUCCGCCAGGGACUGUGAGUCCCUACGCCUACGGGGCAGUGGCUACGCUGCUACCAGACGGCUCAGCGGUUGCUAGUAGUUGAUAUUAUAUGCCGUUUGGGCCCAUUCCUAUCUGAAC
ensembl:lncRNA